rnacentral:rRNA from 1 species
UACAGAGGGGGCAAGCGUUAUUCGGAAUUAUUGGGCGUAAAGGGCGCGUAGGCGGCCUGACAAGUGGAAGGUGAAAUCCCUCGGCUUAACCGAGGAACUGCCCUCCAAACUGUCUGGCUUGAGACCGGGAGAGGUGAGUGGAAUUCCCAGUGUAGCGGUGAAAUGCGUAGAUAUUGGGAGGAACAUCAGUGGCGAAGGCGGCUCACUGGACCGGUACUGACGCUGAUGCGCGAAAGCGUGGGGAGCAAACGGG